rnacentral:rRNA from 1 species
UGGGGAAUUUUGGACAAUGGGGGCAACCCUGAUCCAGCCAUGCCGCGUGAGUGAAGAAGGCCUUCGGGUUGUAAAGCUCUUUCAGACGGAAAGAAAACGCCCCUCCUAAUACGGGGGGUGGAUGACGGUACUGUCAGAAGAAGCACCGGCUAACUACGUGCCAGCAGCCGCGGUAAUACGUAGGGUGCGAGCGUUAAUCGGAAUUACUGGGCGUAAAGCGUGCGCAGGCGGUUGUGUAAGACAGGUGUGAAAUCCCCGGGCUUAACCUGGGAACUGCGCUUGUGACUGCACGGCUAGAGUACGGCAGAGGGGGGUGGAAUUCCACGUGUAGCAGUGAAAUGCGUAGAUAUGUGGAGGAACACCGAUGGCGAAGGCAGCCCCCUGGGCCGAUACUGACGCUCAUGCACGAAAGCGUGGGGAGCAAACAGGAUUAGAUACCCUGGUAGUCCACGCCCUAAACGAUGUCGACUAGUCGUUCGGAGAGGUAACUCACUGAGUGACGCAGCUAACGCGUGAAGUCGACCGCCUGGGGAGUACGGCCGCAAGGUUAA